rnacentral:rRNA from 1 species
AUUCCAGCUCCAAUAGCGUAUAUUAAAGUUGUUGCAGUUAAAAAGCUCGUAGUUGGAUUUCUGGCAUGAUGCGCCUGGCCCGCUCCGAUUACGGAUGUGUGUGCUAGUGCGCGUCUGCCAUCCAUUUACAGAAUGUAUCUACCCUUCAUUGGGCCGGAUAUGUGAUGUAAAUCUUUUACUUUGAAAAAAUUAGAGUGUUUAAAGCAGGCAUUUGCUAUGAAUACAUUAGCAUGGAAUAAUAAUCUAGGACUUCGGUUUUAUUUUGUUGGUUUCUAAAUCUGGAGUAAUGAUUGAUAGGGAUAGUUGGGGGUGCUAGUAUUUAGGGGCCAGAGGUGAAAUUCUUGGAUUCUCUAAAGACUAACUUAUGCGAAAGCAUUCACCAAGGAUGUCUUCAUCG